rnacentral:rRNA from 1 species
GGAAUCUUAGACAAUGGGGGAAACCCUGAUCUAGCCAUGCCGCGUGAGCGAUGAAGGCCUUAGGGUUGUAAAGCUCUUUCGCUGGGGAAGAUAAUGACGGUACCCAGUAAAGAAGCCCCGGCUAACUCCGUUCCCGCAGCCGCGGUAAUACGGAGGGGGCUAGCGUUGUUCGGAAUUACUGGGCGUAAAGCGCGCGUAGGCGGAUUGGAAAGUUGGGGGUGAAAUCCCGGGGCUCAACCCCGGAACUGCCUCCAAAACUAUCAGUCUGGAGUUCGAGAGAGGUGAGUGGAAUUCCGAGUGUAGAGGUGAAAUUCGUAGAUAUUCGGAGGAACACCAGUGGCGAAGGCGGCUCACUGGCUCGAUACUGACGCUGAGGUGCGAAAGUGUGGAGAGCA